GCAUUUAAUAUUGAGAUGAGUACGUGUACUUAGGGUGUACGAUCAGUCGCCUCUUUGAAUACUUAUCCCUAAAUUACCUUUAAUAAGUUGAAAAGGAAAUAUUGCCUUAUUAUCAAACCAAGUGGGUCGUAAUAGCGAAUUGGGUCUACCCGACUAGAUUCAAUGCGCUGAUAUUGAGGUAACAGUUUAAUCGGGACCUAAUAGACCUUAAUUUUUGCAUCUGCAGAAAUUGGACUUAAUUUGGAGGAAUUUCUGAUUGUGAUUCUCAAGCAGGACGAGUUAUGAUUAAUGUGGGAAAUGUAGAUGGCCAUGGACUGGACCAGGAAAUGUCCGGAAAGUCGGCCUUCAUGGAGCUCCAUGCCUCCGUAUCAGAGCCCUUCUCCCACCCGGGAUGAUAAAUCUCAAAUGGAAGAGCUUCGAAUUAACGGAAAGGGCAAAAAGAUGAGGAAACCUAGAACUAUAUACUCAAGCCUACAAUUGCAGCAACUGAAUAGGCGCUUCCAGCGGACGCAAUACUUGGCCCUUCCCGAGCGCGCGGAACUCGCCGCAUCCCUUGGCCUCACGCAAACACAGGUUAAAAUCUGGUUCCAAAAUCGACGCUCAAAGGCUAAGAAGAUGAUAAAGCAGGGCGCAAAUCCUAUGCAGGCAAGCGGACAACAAACACCCACUCCGGUGACGUCACCAACUCAAGGCCAGCAACCCAUGCAACCGCAGUCUCCAUCUCAGCAACACUCCCCUCCGACGCCUUCCGCUCACAGUCACAACGCGCAUGGGCAUCAUCCUCCCAAUGGACUCAAAAUGGAGACCCCUGAUCAGAAUCCACACAAUUCUGUGAUGAUUUCCCCUGCAUCCUCCGUGAGCCCCGAACACGAGCCCCAGUGGAACGAUCACCCAGCAAACAACUAUACCUCAUCACAGUCCUACAUGCCAAUGUCCAGCAUGCCGCCGAUGACGUCAGUAAUGACUUCCGGUAUGCCUCCAAUGUCUCAUUACCAUUCUGCCUGGUAUUCUACUCAACCUAUGAUGAAUCAACAGUCUUGUCUCACGUGAAUAUAGUAGUAAUAGAGCGUAAAAACUGUCAGUCUAGCAUCGGCACAUUCCGAUAGUGCUCGGGAAUUCUCGGGGAGAUUUGUCUGCUUGUGAUAGUCCCUGAAUGUGUUGUAAACAUUAUAUUAUUGCGGUCAAAUGUUUGUGGGCUCUCCCACUGAGCGCAGAAGGUUUGCAACAUUUGAAUUCCGCGCCGUGUGACUAAACAUACGGUCACCUGACAGUGCUUGCCAUGUCAUGUGACACGGCGGAACAGGUGCGUUCUCAUUAAUUUAUAUGAAGUCUAUAAAUUUGUACAUACAAAGCCAGUGGGAAAAAAAGAGAAAAUGAAAAAGAAAAAAGAGAUCAGUACUGACACGAAUUUUUAUAUCGGGCGGUUUUUAUGUUGAAACCCGUAUUCCUUUUGCUCAUGUACCUUGUAUUUAAUGCUCCUUGCAUUUCGUUUUUCUAUGGCGUAAUUUAUAAUUUUGUUGUUCAAUUCGUCCUAUAUUCUUUUAGCGUUAUAUGGUCCCUUUGUAUAAAUUUUCCUUUGUUUUUAGCGAAAAUUUUUACUUAUUUUUUUCUUCUUAGACAUCCAUUGUCACAUUUCAUCAAUUACAUUGAUAUGUUGACUGUAUAAAAAUUUUAUCUAAUGUAAUUUGCAUGUAUACGUACGGUGAAACCGUGACUAAAUUAAUAAAAUAAUUUUAAAUC
rnacentral:misc_RNA from 1 species